GUGUUGUAGCCAAAUUUGCUGCGUGCGUGUAUAGCCGUGUAUGUGUGCGUGUGUGUGUGUUGUGUGUGUGCAUACCCCACGCACUAACACACAUUUUAUCAAGAAUCCCAGGAAAGUAAACUUUAAAGGAUGGAGACUACGCAUUUCUUUGCACACACACUAAAUCUAUUUAUUUUCUUUGUUUGUUUCAAAACUGAAAUAUUUCUGUGUGUGCUAAUGUUGUGAUAAAAAAAAUUUAAGUAUAAGAACUGUUGGUUAGUGAAGCUUAAAUCUCCACUUGAGGUUUGUGUCUGUUCUCGCUCAAUAGUCUGACAUCAGCAUGUUAAUGAUUUUCGUACCUAAAAAA